CUUGACGACUGGCUUUUGUCUCGCAAUAAGCAGACCGUGCCCUUUGUGCGGUAACAAAAUCUGGCGACCGCAAAGGGCAAUAAGUCCUGCUCAUGGCCAGUCAACCUGGGAUGGGCAGCCUGUUGGGUAAGUCCCUUGUGGCCGCUGAGACGCCCUUUGUCUCAGGGAUCUGCUUUUCCUGCUCUCCCAUGCCAUUACCAGCUGCCUCCUAACGCUCCCUAUGGUGGAAAGAGAAAUGGCUACCUCUGGGGGGUCGACGGGCUCACAUCUGGAGUAGGCUGCCCUUUUUCCUGAAGCCUUGCAAGCUGAAACUCGAGGACUUGAUAUAAACUUCAGAGAUAUUCAUAGCUGUUGCUAUGUAAGCUCCUCAGAAAGAUACCUGAACACCUGAUGGCAUCAUCAGGGAUAUUUCAAACUGCAAAAGAUGCUUUGACCCUGACAUCUAGAAGUUUUCUUGACUGGCUGACCCUGGGCUCAGAAACUGGUUUAUAAUUUGCUCCCACCAUUAACCUUGUUUUUCUUUUUGUCUCUGUAGAAAUGCUUCUUAUUAAAUAUCUGGUUACCUGCUUACCCAAUAUAGGCCUAACUAUGGGAGCCCACCUGCAUCACCGUCUUACUAAGAGACUGGUUCCAUGAGAUGGAACAACCUAUGACCCUCAUCAACAGGGUGUCCCUCAAGAUUGAGGGAUGAAAAA